rnacentral:rRNA from 1 species
GUGCAUCGGGAGAGCUUGCUCUUUGCCGACGAGCGGCGGACGGGUGCGUAACACGUAGGAAUCUGCCUGGUAGUGGGGGAUAGCCCGGAGAAAUCCGGAUUAAUACCGCAUACGCCCUACGGGGGAAAGCAGGGGAUCUUCGGACCUUGCGCUAUCAGAUGAGCCUGCGUCGGAUUAGCUGGUUGGUGGGGUAAAGGCCUACCAAGGCGACGAUCCGUAGCUGGUCUGAGAGGAUGAUCAGCCACACUGGGACUGAGACACGGCCCAGACUCCUACGGGAGGCAGCAGUGGGGAAUAUUGCACAAUGGGCGAAAGCCUGAUGCAGCCAUGCCGCGUGUGUGAAGAAGGCCCUAGGGUUGUAAAGCACUUUCAGUGGGGAGGAAAGGUUGAAGGUUAAUACCCUUCAGCUGUGACGUUACCCACAGAAGAAGCACCGGCUAACUCCGUGCCAGCAGCCGCGGUAAUACGGAGGGUGCGAGCGUUAAUCGGAAUUACUGGGCGUAAAGCGUGCGUAGGCGGCUACCUAAGUUGGAUGUGAAAGCCCCGGGCUCAACCUGGGAACUGCAUCCAAAACUGGGUGGCUGGAGUACGGGAGAGGAGUGUGGAAUUUCCUGUGUAGCGGUGAAAUGCGUAGAUAUAGGAAGGAACAC